CUUUUUCUCUCUCUUUUUUCCUCAGUCCCUCUAAAAAAAAUUUCCUGUUGCAGAUCUAUACGAAGAUGAAAACUGAUUUUGAAGUUUUUUGUUUUCCAGGUUGUAGAUCUAUAUGAAGAUGAUAAAAAUGAUUUUAAAGUGUAAGUAACAACAUAUAAGUUUUCUCUGUUCCAUAAUUUUCACUUCUUUUAUUUUUACAUGUUGUAGAUCUAUCAAAACAAAGACGAAUUCGGGUACUAAAACAACAACGACAAUAUGUGUGACAAUAUAAAUUAUGGUUCUACAUCUUCUGAUAGGAAAACAAAAAGUUAAACAUAUGGACAAUUUCUUAACAUUUUUUUUUCACUUCUUUUUAUUUUUAUUAAUUUUUCUCUCUUCUUUUUAGAAUUUGUCAUAUAUUUUUAAAAUUUUAUAAUUAUGAAGUAGUGUAUCUAUUUUUGUAAUGUUUCUAAAUAUUUAAAUUGAAAAAAAAACUAUUAUUUAUUUUAAUUUAAUAUUUUUUAUCAUCAUUAUUAUAAUUAUUGUUGAUAUUAUUGGCAUCAUCAUUAGAAAAAAUCAAAAUAAUAAUUUUAUUUUUCUCAAAGAGAUUGAAGUUAGAUAAAAAAAUUUAUAUAAGAAGAAGAAAAGAAAAUUUAU